rnacentral:rRNA from 1 species
UACGUAGGGGGCAAGCGUUGUCCGGAUUUAUUGGGCGUAAAGAGCGUGUAGGCGGCCUGAAAGGUCAGCUGUGAAACUCGAGGCUCAACCUCGAGACGUCGGUUGAAACCAUCUGGCUAGAGUCCGGAAGAGGAGAGUGGAAUUCCCGGUGUAGCGGUGAAAUGCGCAGAUAUCGGGAAGAACACCCGUGGCGAAGGCGGCUCUCUGGGACGGUACUGACGCGUGAGACGCGAAAGCGUGGGGAGCGAACAGG